rnacentral:lncRNA from 1 species
UAAUCUCAUCAUUUCAAUUUUUUUUUUCAUAGAGAUAUGUCUGCUCUGUCAUGGAUUCUGAUCUGUGAAGGCUACGGAAGGAAUUGGCCAUGUAAUUUCCAGGGACACCUUAUUCUCAGGGGUCCAGGAGGAGCUUUUGCAGGAGUUGAUUAAUGCAGAAGUGAAGAAGCACGUCCGUGUCACAUAGAUGGUAAAUGGCAAAACUCGACUUUUCAUGGAGGCCUGUCUUCAUAGACAGUGCUCAGAACCACCCCUCGGUCCUCAUUUGUAACAGUAAGCAGAUCUGCAGCAAGGCAGAAGGUCUCUCAGCUGCCACUAGCUGGGGUCAACAAGCCCCAAGAAGUAACAAGCAACUGCAAGCUAUCUUCAGAGAAAGGACAAGAAUAUGGAGAAAGACCCUCUCAGGAGUGUAGAUGUACAGCAAAGACUAAAGCUGAGGGUGGAAGAGAAACAUUUAAAAAAUUCUCUGCAUCUCCAACCAAGCAUAAAGUCACACAAGAGAAAUUUGAAGCAGUGCAGCAGAAGCAGC